GACGCGCGUUUCGUCUACAACACACUCACCAUUGACGCUUUAAUAAUAAAGUUAAAUGUACGAAGUUGAAGGGUAUAGGACCAAAUAUUUCUAAAAGUUUUGCCAAAUAAAGCUAAGGUAUCAAUUGUUUUUCAAAUAUAAAAGUUUUGAUGUGGUUGUUUCAUCAAUCAAAAGAUAAUUGAUGGGGGCUUGAACAUAUCGUGAUUUCAGCACGGGCUGGCCCUUUUAUGACAAAUAUCUUACCAUGAGCGAUAGAAGACGAAAAACAUGUUUUAAUGCAUUGUGAAUUUUAUUCAGAUCUGCGAUAUGGUCUAUUUUUGAAAGCAAGUGCAAUUAACCCAAAUUUUUACGAUUUUAAUCAUGAUGACAAAUUUAUUUUUCUGAUGUCACAUGACUGUAUACAACCC
rnacentral:lncRNA from 1 species